rnacentral:rRNA from 1 species
CGGGCGACCGGCGCACGGGUGAGUAACGCGUAUGCAACUUACCUAUCAGGAGGGGGACGUAACCCGGCGAAAGUCGGACUAAUACCGCAUGAAGCAGGGGCCCCGCAUGGGGAUAUUUGCUAAAGAUUCAUCGCUGAUAGAUAGGCAUGCGUUCCAUUAGGCAGUUGGCGGGGUAACGGCCCACCAAACCGACGAUGGAUAGGGGUUCUGAGAGGAAGGUCCCCCACAUUGGUACUGAGACACGGACCAAACUCCUACGGGAGGCAGCAG